rnacentral:rRNA from 1 species
CAGCCUUCUGAAAGGAAGAUUAAUACAAGAUGGCAUCAUGAGUCCGCAUGUUCACAUGAUUAAAGGUAUUCCGGUAGACGAUGGGGAUGCGUUCCAUUAGAUAGUAGGCGGGGUAACGGCCCACCUAGUCUUCGAUGGAUAGGGGUUCUGAGAGGAAGGUCCCCCACAUUGGAACUGAGACACGGUCCAAACUCCUACGGGAGGCAGCAGUGAGGAAUAUUGGUCAAUGGGCGAGAGCCUGAACCAGCCAAGUAGCGUGAAGGAUGACUGCCCUAUGGGUUGUAAACUUCUUUUAUAAAGGAAUAAAGUCGGGUAUGGAUACCCGUUUACAUGUACUUUAUGAAUAAGGAUCGGCUAACUCCGUGCCAGCAGCCGCGGUAAUACGGAGGAUCCGAGCGUUAUCCGGAUUUAUUGGGUUUAAAGGGAGCGUAGAUGGAUGUUUAAGUCAGUUGUGAAAGUUUGCGGCUCAACCGUAAAAUUGCAGUUGAUACUGGAUAUCUUGAGUGCAGUUGAGGCAGGCGGAAUUCGUGGUGUAGCGGUGAAAUGCUUAGAUAUCACGAAGAACUCCGAUUGCGAAGGCAGCCUGCUAAGCUGCAACUGACAUUGAGGCUCGAAAGUGUGGGUAUCAAACAGGAUUAGAUACCCUGGUAGUCCACGCAGUAAACGAU